rnacentral:rRNA from 1 species
UACGUAGGGUGCAAGCGUUGUCCGGAAUUAUUGGGCGUAAAGAGCUCGUAGGCGGUCUGUUGCGUCGGCUGUGAAAACCCGGGGCUCAACCCCGGGCCUGCAGCCGAUACGGGCAGACUAGAGUUCGGCAGGGGAGACUGGAAUUCCUGGUGUAGCGGUGAAAUGCGCAGAUAUCAGGAGGAACACCGAUGGCGAAGGCAGGUCUCUGGGCCAUAACUGACGCUGAGAAGCGAAAGCAUGGGGAGCGAACAGG